AGGCAGCUGCAAGGCCACAGUGGCUUUGGGAGAAAGGAGGCUGGUCCCCCUGGAUCGAGGAGGAGGAGAGGAACAGGCCUGUGUGAGGCUGGCGCGGAAAGCACGGGGCUGCGGAAGCCACCAGAAAGACUCAAGUUUGCUCAGAGAGACAGGGGACCUGCUGGAGGGUCUGAGCAGAGGAGCGACCGGGUCUCACUGCAUGGUCCUGGCAAUGAGCAAGAUUUGUUACGAUGACCUGUGAUCCGGGAUUGCGGCAGGCUGAGAACUCAGAGGACAGCUGAGGCGUAGUUCUACGUUACGAUGCAGGGGCUGAGCUCACAGAGGAGAAAUGACCCGUCCGGUGACACAGGGUCACAGCGCCAGGGCCCAGAGGAGCACCAGGCCCCAGAGCCCGAGCAGGGAAGGGGCGGCAGAGGCCAGGCGGGAGGUCCCCAGGCCUCGCAGGGAAACCUGAACCUGAGCCCUUCAGCGCGGUGACCCAAGUCAGUGGCCUGAGCCUCAAGUCUACAAAUGGAGGGUAAAGUCCACCCCGGCCUCUGAGGUGGCUUAACAGGAAGGAGGCGUCCUCUCUGCCAGACCUUCCUGAGCAGGACAGUGGACCACACUGCCAGAGCCCACCAGAGUCCUGCUGCUGGGACCGGGUGUCAUCUCCGUCUCCCCGAGAGGGCCUGACCGAUACAGCCGCCUUCAAGCGCUACAGAGGAGCGAGCCUGGGCUGGAACCCGCGGGUGUCCCUAGGAAGUGGCAAUGGCCUGUGACCUCCAUGACAGAUGGGGAACCAGAGCCCCCGGGCAGGGGAAGCUGCGGGUGCGAAACUCCCCUCGGGCUGAGCAGGCACACGAUGUAGUGACUCAACGAUUCCAUAUAUCGCUUGGCGCGGCGUUAUUCCCAACAGCCGAACCACAGGAGCAGCCGUGGGGUCCAUCAACAGACGGUGUGGCACAUCUAUAGAAUGGAAUACUACUCAGCCAUAAAAAAGGAAUGGAGUCUGGCCCCUUGCAAAACAUCUGUCUUGAUGUGGAGGGUCUUGGUUGGCCUAGGACGGUGACACACCUCAAAUCACAGCAGCACAUCCUUACAGCUGGUGCUCCCUGGGCCAGCCAGUGUGGAGGUCUGCAUUCUAGACGAGGCCCAGAGGCUGGUCCUCCCCAGGGAGGCGGCAGGAAGUAGGGAAACUCAUGUCUUCCAGUGGCCUCUGGUGUCAAGCUAAGGGCUUAGCUGGCAGGUCCAGUGACACUCCAGGUUUCCUCCACAGCCACUGGCUGCAGGUGGCUACUUUUCAUUAAAAUUAAAUAAAAGGUAAAUGUA